GACGAUGAAGCCCAGCUUGCUGGGUGGAUUAGUGGCGAACGGGUGAGUAACACGUGAGUAACCUGCCCUUGACUCUGGGAUAAGCGUUGGAAACGACGUCUAAUACCGGAUACGAGCUUCCACCGCAUGGUGAGUUGCUGGAAAGAAUUUUGGUCAAGGAUGGACUCGCGGCCUAUCAGCUUGUUGGUGAGGUAAUGGCUCACCAAGGCGACGACGGGUAGCCGGCCUGAGAGGGUGACCGGCCACACUGGGACUGAGACACGGCCCAGACUCCUACGGGAGGCAGCAGUGGGGAAUAUUGCACAAUGGGCGAAAGCCUGAUGCAGCAACGCCGCGUGAGGGACGACGGCCUUCGGGUUGUAAACCUCUUUUAGCAGGGAAGAAGCGAAAGUGACGGUACCUGCAGAAAAAGCACCGGCUAACUACGUGCCAGCAGCCGCGGUAAUACGUAGGGUGCAAGCGUUGUCCGGAAUUAUUGGGCGUAAAGAGCUCGUAGGCGGUUUGUCGCGUCUGCUGUGAAAUCCCGAGGCUCAACCUCGGGUCUGCAGUGGGUACGGGCAGACUAGAGUGCGGUAGGGGAGAUUGGAAUUCCUGGUGUAGCGGUGGAAUGCGCAGAUAUCAGGAGGAACACCGAUGGCGAAGGCAGAUCUCUGGGCCGUUACUGACGCUGAGGAGCGAAAGGGUGGGGAGCAAACAGGCUUAGAUACCCUGGUAGUCCACCCCGUAAACGUUGGGCGCUAGAUGUGGGGACCAUUCCACGGUUUCCGUGUCGUAGCUAACGCAUUAAGCGCCCCGCCUGGGGAGUACGGCCGCAAGGCUAAAACUCAAAGGAAUUGACGGGGGCCCGCACAAGCGGCGGAGCAUGCGGAUUAAUUCGAUGCAACGCGAAGAACCUUACCAAGGCUUGACAUAUACGAGAACGGGCCAGAAAUGGUCAACUCUUUGGACACUCGUAAACAGGUGGUGCAUGGUUGUCGUCAGCUCGUGUCGUGAGAUGUUGGGUUAAGUCCCGCAACGAGCGCAACCCUCGUUCUAUGUUGCCAGCACGUAAUGGUGGGAACUCAUGGGAUACUGCCGGGGUCAACUCGGAGGAAGGUGGGGACGACGUCAAAUCAUCAUGCCCCUUAUGUCUUGGGCUUCACGCAUGCUACAAUGGCCAGUACAAAGGGCUGCAAUACCGUAAGGUGGAGCGAAUCCCAAAAAGCUGGUCCCAGUUCGGAUUGAGGUCUGCAACUCGACCUCAUGAAGUCGGAGUCGCUAGUAAUCGCAGAUCAGCAACGCUGCGGUGAAUACGUUCCCGGGCCUUGUACACACCGCCCGUCAAGUCAUGAAAGUCGGUAACACCCGAAGCCAGU
rnacentral:rRNA from 1 species